GUGGAUGCCCUGGCAGUCAGAGGCGAUGAAGGGCGUGCUAAUCUGCGAUAAGCGCCGGUAAGGUGAUAUGAACCGUUAUAACCGGCGAUACCCGAAUGGGGAAACCCAGUGUGAUUCGUCACACUAUCAUUAACUGAAUCCAUAGGUUAAUGAGGCGAACCGGGGGAACUGAAACAUCUAAGUACCCCGAGGAAAAGAAAUCAACCGAGAUUCCCCCAGUAGCGGCGAGCGAACGGGGAGGAGCCCAGAGCCUGAAUCAGCAUGUGUGUUAGUGGAAGCGUCUGGAAAGGCGCGCGAUACAGGGUGACAGCCCCGUACACAAAAGCGCAUGUGCUGUGAGCUCGAUGAGUAGGGCGGGACACGUGGUAUCCUGUCUGAAUAUGGGGGGACCAUCCUCCAAGGCUAAAUACUCCUGACUGACCGAUAGUGAACCAGUACCGUGAGGGAAAGGCGAAAAGAACCCCGGCGAGGGGAGUGAAAAAGAACCUGAAACCGUGUACGUACAAGCAGUGGGAGCACAGGUUUACCUGUGUGACUGCGUACCUUUUGUAUAAUGGGUCAGCGACUUAU
rnacentral:rRNA from 1 species